ensembl:lncRNA novel transcript
UCUAAAUUUUAUGUCUGGUAAUGGACUUGUAUAUGUAAAGAACUCUUAUAAUUGAAUAAUAAAAGGGCAAAUAGCCCAACUGAAGAGGGCAAAGGAUCUGAAUAGGCAUUUCUGCAAAACACAUGAAAAGAAGCUCAACAUCAUUAGCCAUCAGGGAAAUGAUUUCACUUAAUGCCCACAAGGAUGGCUAUAAUCAGAACGAGAAGACAGUAACAAGUGUUCACAAGGAUAUGGAGAAAUGGGAACGUUGGAACUGUCAUAUGUUGCUGUGAGAAUGUAAAAUGGUGCAGCCGUUUUGGAAAAUAGCCUGGCAUUUCUUCAAGGUUAAAUGUAGAAUUAACACGUGACUCAGCAGUUCCAUUUCUGGGUUUAUACCCAAGAGAAAUGAAAAUAUAUGUCCACAGAAAAACUUGUACAUGGAUGUUCAUAGCAGCAGCAUCCAUAAUAGCCUCAAGUAGAAGCAACUCAAAUGUCUGUCAACUGAUGAACAGAUGACAAAACAUGGUACAAUGGAAUAUUACUCAGCAAUGAAAAGGAAUGCUUUAUAUGUUACAACAUGAUUGGACCCUAAAAACAUGCCAAAAGGCUGUGUAUUAUAUGACUCCAUUGAUAGGAAAGGAAUGGUUUACAUGUUACAACAUGAUUGAACCUUAAAAACAUGCCACAAACUGUGUAUGACUCCAUUGAUAUGAGAGGAAUGGUUUACAUGUUACAACAUGAUUGAACCCUAAAAACAUGUAUUAUAUGACUCCAUUUAUAUGAAAUGUCUCAAAGAGGCAGAUUCAUAGAAAGACUAGUGGUUGCCAAGGUCUUCAUUUUUUAGGGGUGCACUAAUGGAUGUAGGAUUUCUUUUUAGAGUGAUUAAAAUGUUACAAAAUUGCUGGCUGGGUGCAGUGGCUUAUGCCCAUAAUCACAGCACUUCGGGAGGCUGAAGUGGGAAGAUCCAGGAGUUGAAGACCAGCCUGGGCAACAUAGUGAGAAAAUGUCUCCCUAAAAGGAAGAAUUAACCUCAUGUGGUGGUGUGCACCUGUAGUUCUAGCUACUAGGGAGGCUGAGGAGGAAGGAUUGCUUAUCCCGGGAAUUCAAGGUUGCAGUGAGCUAUGAUUGCACCCACUGUACCUCAUCCUGAGAGAGAGAGCAAGACCCUGUCUCUAAAAGAAAAAUAAAUGUUCUGAAAUUGAUUAUGUUGACGGUCACAUAACUGAAUAUAUUAAAAACUUAAAUUGUAUACUUUAAGUUGGUGAUUGUAUGAUAUAUGAGUUUUAUCAAUACAGCUACUUAAAAACCUAUAGUUAUGCAAAUUAAAAAUUUCAUUUACUGGGGAUAAUUGAAAUGAUUAUACCGAACAUAAUACAUGUAGAAACAGUAUAGUUUUUGUAUUGCUGGAUAGUCUGUUUUUUUCUUUUUCAAUAUUUGAAACUAAAGGUCAUGUAAUUGAUGUUUUUCUUACAUAACUGUGAAAUAUUUAUUCUCUGUUGAAAUGUUUUAUCUUACGUUUUCUCCUUUAGGAAUGUUACGUUCAUAACUUACUAAGGAUUAGUGUAUAUUUUCCAACCUUGAGGCAUGAAAUUCUGGAGCUUAUUAUUGAAAAACUACUCAAGCUGGAUGUGAAUGCAUCCCGGCAGGGUAUUGAAGAUGCUGAAGAAACAGCAAAUCAAACUUGUGGUGGGACAGAUUCCACGGAAGGAUUGUUUAAUAUGGGAUUCGCAGAGGCAUUUUUGGAACAUCUUUGGAAAAACUUGCAGGAUCCAAGUAAUCCUGCCAUCAUCAGGCAGGCUGCUGGAAAUUAUAUUGGAAGCUUUUUGGCAAGAGCUAAAUUUAUUUCUCUUAUUACUGUAAAACCAUGCCUAGAUCUUUUGGUUAACUGGCUGCACAUAUACCUUAAUAACCAGGAUUCGGGAACAAAGGCAUUCUGCGAUGUUGCUCUCCAUGGACCAUUUUACUCAGCCUGCCAAGCUGUGUUCUACACCUUUGUUUUUAGACACAAGCAGCUUUUGAGCGGAAACCUGAAAGAAGGUUUGCAGUAUCCUCAGAGUCUGAAUUUUGAGCGGAUAGUGAUGAGCCAGCUAAAUCCCCUGAAGAUUUGCCUGCCCUCAGUGGUUAACUUUUUUGCUGCAAUCACAAAGAUGAAGACUUGUGGAUAUGGAUGGUGGUGAUGGUUGCACAACAAUAUCAAUUUAUUUUAUACCACUGAACCGUGCACUUCAAAAUGGUUAAGAUGGUAAGUUUUAUGUUGUGUAUUUUACCAUAAUAAAAAAAAUUGUAGAGGGAAAAACAGUCUGCCUCCACUUUUGAUAUGGGACUGCUAACAUCUUCCACCCUCCCUCUCCCCCUCUGCCCCACAUCUGGGCAAGCUAAGAAAGCCUGCUGCUCUCUCCUCUGGCACCAGCUGGAAAUUCAUACCCAACAAGCCCUAGCCCUCCCACCAGACCCACAUUUCAUCCCCAUCCCCAUCGCAUCCCCAUCCCCAUCCCCAUCCCUAACCACCAUAAAUGCUAAGGGAGUUUCCUUGCCUGGUUUUCUGAAACCAUUUUUGGACCUGCUUGGGAAUCUGCCCUGCUCUCUCAGAAAGCUUCAUUAUAUGAGCAAUAAACCUUUUCCUACCCUC